UACCAUAAUGACGUCAACACUCCCCACAGCCGAUUUAUAGUCACCAUAUUACCAUGUGGCUGGAAUAAUUUGUCUGACACCUUUAUUGUCUUCUCGUAAAUAGCCUUUACAAUUAGCAAUUGUACAAUUUAAAGCGUAGGUAGGUCUUGCGAUACGACAAAUCUUCGUAGUGUCCUAGCUCCAGCAGAAGGCGCCAUAUCCGUACCUGAAAACCUGCACCCCAGAGCCUGACUGCCAGAGAUGUAACCACUUGGCACACACAGCAUGGACAGCAGUCACCAUCAUGGACAGCAGUCACCAUCAUGGACAGCAGUCACCAUCAUGGACAGCAGUCACCAUCAUGG